rnacentral:rRNA from 1 species
AUCGAACGCUGGCGGCAGGCCUAACACAUGCCAGUCGAACGAACUCUGCGGAGUUAGUGGCGGACGGGUGAGUAACACGUGGGAACGUGCCUUUUGGUUCGGAAUAACUCAGGGAAACUUGUGCUAAUACCGAAUGUGCCCUUCGGGGGAAAGAUUUAUCGCCAUUAGAGCGGCCCGCGUCUGAUUAGCUAGUUGGUGAGGUAAAGGCUCACCAAGGCGACGAUCAGUAGCUGGUUUGAGAGGAUAACCAGCCACACUGGGACUGAGACACGGCCCAGACUCCUACGGGAGGGAGGAGUGGGGAAUCUUGCGCAAUGGGCGAAAGCAUGACGCAGCCAUGCCGCGUGAAUGAUGAAGGUCGUAGGAUUGUAAAAUUCUUUCACCGGGGACGAUAAUGACGGUACCCGGAGAAGAAGCCCCGGCUAACUUCGUG